rnacentral:rRNA from 1 species
CAAAAUUCCCCACUGCUGCCUCCCGUAGGCCCCCCGUGCCCCCGCCCCGCCCGCCGCGCGCGGCGGGCGGGGCGGGGGCACGGGGGGCCUACGGGAGGGAGCAGUGGGGAAUUUUGGACAAUGGGGGGAAGCCUGGUCCAGCCAUGCCGCGUGCGGGAAGAAGGCCUUCGGGUUGUAAAGUGCUUUUGGACGGAAAG